AGUGAACGCUGGCGGUAGGCCUAACACAUGCAAGUCGAACGGCAGCACAGUAAGAGCUUGCUCUUACGGGUGGCGAGUGGCGGACGGGUGAGGAAUACAUCGGAAUCUACUUUUUCGUGGGGGAUAACGUAGGGAAACUUACGCUAAUACCGCAUACGACCUACGGGUGAAAGCAGGGGAUCUUCGGACCUUGCGCGAUUGAAUGAGCCGAUGUCGGAUUAGCUAGUUGGCGGGGUAAAGGCCCACCAAGGCGACGAUCCGUAGCCGGUCUGAGAGGAUGAUCAGCCACACUGGAACUGAGACACGGUCCAGACUCCUACGGGAGGCAGCAGUGGGGAAUAUUGGACAAUGGGCGCAAGCCUGAUCCAGCCAUACCGCGUGGGUGAAGAAGGCCUUCGGGUUGUAAAGCCCUUUUGUUGGGAAAGGAAAGCAGCAGGUUAAUACCCCGCUGUUCUGACGGUACCCAAAGAAUAAGCACCGGCUAACUUCGUG
rnacentral:rRNA from 1 species